GCCAGGAUAGCUCAGUUGAUAGAGCAUCAGACUCUUAAUCUGAGAGUAAAGGGUUCAAGUCCCUUUUUUUUUGGGCG